rnacentral:lncRNA from 1 species
AUGGGGAGCGGGCAGCCGGCCCCCGCUCCAUACCAGGAGCAUCCAGCCUUCAGACCGGCGCCUGGGGUGGGGGUGGAGAAAAGAGAGGGGAGGGGAGGGAGAGGAGGAGAAGGCAGCUCGCUUAGCCAGGGAAGGGAGGAGGGAGGAGCAGAAGGGAGGAGGAAGAGGAGGGAGGGGACUCUCACUGGCGGCGGCGGCGGCGGCGAGCGGAGGGGGCCGGCGGAGCUAACGGAUCUGGGGCGCAGGCUGCUGCUGCCGCUGCUGCUGCUGCUGGUGUUGCUGUUGCUGUUACUGCUGCUGCUGCUGCUGCGGCCACUGCCACGGCUGGUAGGUAACAACGCCUGCCUGCAACAGCACCCCCAGCAUUGGAAGGAGGAGGAGGACGCGGCGGCGGCGGCGGCGGGGACGGCACCCAGUUUCAGCAGACCCUGUUCUGACCGGCAGAGGCUGCCAGGAGUUUACUGAAAGCCCUCCAGCUGAGUACACAGCCCCCGGGGAGCAGGAAUGGGCAGAGGGGCAGCUGAACCCCAGCCAGCGCUGCUGGGAAGAAGACGGAGGAGAGAGCACAGGGGCGUCCAGCACGUCUGCCACUAACAGGGGGGAGCCCGGCAGCUGGCUUGCAGCUGUUUCUUAGCUCCAAGGAGCCUCGCCUCUGGAAUGAUCCUUUGCAGUGGCUUGGGCAACCCGGGCCAAGGAGCUUGCAGCCUCAGAGGUGGUGAGGCUUCAGUGGAGAAGGACAGGGCAAGUUCUGAGGUAGCAUGGAACGUCGUCACCCUCCACUGAGUGUCCUUGAAAGCUUGUCAGCCUGCUGAGGUUGGGGGUUUUUUCCCUCUGUCCUCUAAGAAUCAAGGUCCUGGUCCUCCCCUCUUCUUGCCCAAGUGACCUCGGGGCCACCUCUCUGGUUCCUGACGCCUCUUUGUGCCCUUCUCCACACACCCCAUCCCACUUGGGGAGCUUCUGUUCUGGUUGGAAUCCUUGGUUUCCCCAGGGGGACAGAGCAAGCUCCCCUACAGCAGGGGAGGGAGGGACAGCCUCAGAGUCUGCCCAUGAGCCACAAGGACCCCGGCUGCCCCAGACUGGACUAUUCCAAAUCACCAAAGAGGAGGUUUCCCAGAGCUGGUCCCCAGCAAUCCCGAGGGACUAGAGGGCUAGGAUGGACUGACCUCCCCCUCAGUGGGGGGGCUGGAGACGCACAGCCCCUGUGGCCCAGCUAGUGGCAGGUCCGGAGGAAGCUGCCACCAGAGUCUCAGUGGCAGGAAGCCACAAUUGCCUGAUUUGUUUUCUCUCACCUCUGAGGGAGAGAAGGGGGUUUCCCCCCCGUUGGCCUCUCCCUUCCUUAUCGCGGCUUGGGCCUCUAUGCUCUUUCUUUGUGGAGCCAGACCAGGUGGGCAGCGCUGGGGCCAGCUGGUGAGGGAGGGACCCCGGUGACCCCCGCCCCCACAGGGGGUC